rnacentral:miRNA from 1 species
CAGUUUGUCUCUUCUUUGUCU